CUACGGGCGGCUGCAGUGGGGAAUCUUAGACAAUGGGGGAAACCCUGAUCUAGCCAUGCCGCGUGAGUGACGAAGGCCUUAGGGUCGUAAAGCUCUUUCGCUGGGGAAGAUAAUGACUGUACCCAGUAAAGAAACCCCGGCUAACUCCGCGCCAGCAGCCGCGGUAAUACGGAGGGGGUUAGCGUUGUUCGGAAUUACUGGGCGUAAAGCGCGCGUAGGCGGACUGGAAAGUUGGGGGUGAAAUCCCGGGGCUCAACCCCGGAACGGCCUCCAAAACUAUCAGUCUAGAGUUCGAGAGAGGUGAGUGGAAUUCCGAGUGUAGAGGUGAAAUUCGUAGAUAUUCGGAGGAACACCAGUGGCGAAGGCGGCUCACUGGCUCGAUACUGACGCUGAGGUGCGAAAGCGUGGGGAGCAAACAGGAUUAGAUACCCCGGUAGUC
rnacentral:rRNA from 1 species